rnacentral:lncRNA from 1 species
GGCCUUGAUGUUUUCUCCCUCGAUCUUGUAGAGAUGAUGCUCAACUUGCCUUAGAUUCUCCUAUAGAGAAUGAGCAAAGCCUGUGAGGGUCCGAGUUUUGUAGAUUCCCUACAAGCAAAAUAAAAAGGGAGUAAGUUCAAGCAAUUAAGGAUGAACCUUGGACCAUGAAGGCUUGAACUCCUACCUCAAUGAUGGUAUGUCAAGAUAAAGUGAUGGUGCCAUCAAGUACUUGCUUCUUCAACUACUACUCAUUUCUUGGGAGCAUAAGUCUAUUCACCAUCCCCCAACAUAGCUCGAUCUUGCCCCAACUGAAUACUGAGUCAGAUACCAAGACCAACCAGUUAGAUCAAAAAAUUGUUGGCUCAGGCCUGCCCAAUAUAGAUUGGGGAGCAGAGGAUGUAGCUUGAGAAGGCCCUGCAAUGCUACCUAGAGCAACUAUAGACUUAGGCAAGAGAGUGUAGGCCGAGGUGACCUAGGGGUAGUGGAUGAAGUUGGGAGACCUCUGGCACCUCUGGGAUGAAGUUAGGACUUGUCUUUAGAAUAGUCUCAAAGAUCUUCUUGAUCGAGCUCUCUAGUAGUGAAAUGGAAGCCUAUUGAUCAACAUUGAAGAUGGCCUCAAGCACCUCGACAAAAGCUGCUUCCUUGGCGGCACCCA